AUGGUAUUGAACUACGGUCACAUCUAUUUAGGAAUGAUGGGACUCCCGAUGACAGUUCUGCCUCAGGGGAUCGAGACUAAAGGUCAGAUGUCAAUUGUUAGCUUAAGGCCAAGAUAUCCUGCAUUGCACAUCAAUGCAUUCAAGAUUUCUAAAAGCGAUGAAUGCUUAAUAGUGAAAGAUUGGAGGAAAAUUGUUAAUGAUCGCAGAAAAGUACUAGGGGGCAGCAAUGAGAAGCGCAGCCCACGAUUAGGAGACAGGUUCAUCGGCAUGCUCCAGUAUGAUCAAUCAGGAGAGCUAUACAUGUUCUAUGCUAUUUUACUAGAGAGAGUAGCUAGCAGGAGUGAUUUAACUAGUUCUUCAUGCUGCUCUUAA
rnacentral:rRNA from 1 species